rnacentral:lncRNA from 1 species
GGAAGACAUCAUCAAAAGGUUAAAAUGCACUUUUUACAUUCUGAUCUCAAAUCAAGGGCUACAUACAACUUACUCAAGAAGAAAAAUAAAAAGGAAAGUUAGUAUUUACAUAGUAAUUUUUCCUACAGCCUGUCCAAGACCUUUUGAAAAAAUGGAUUAACAGCACUAGGUUCUGGCAGCUGUGGAUCAACGGUUCGUGGACGCGCUGGACUUACCUCAUGAUUGGGACCAUGAGAUCGAGUUAGAUUAAUCUCUAUACACUUCACAGGGACAAAACAAAUGCAGGGAAUGGAGCCGAUUUGAUAGAAGUCCAUGUAUACGUCGAUGAAAUCCAUCAUCUACUUGGCAGAAUACCAGUUUUUGGCAC